GAAAUGGGUAAAAUAGAAAGUUAAAAAGGCAUUUUAGUAUUAAAAUAGAUUAGAAAUAGAAAUAGAUUUAGCAGAAAGCUAAAGCAAACAUAAAAGUCUUCAGUAUUGUUUUUAAGGUGCUCAGAGUUGGGGCAAGUCUUAAAUCCUCUGGGAGUUUAUUCCAGCUAUUUGUUGCAUAGUAACUAAAUCCUGCUUUCCCAUGUUUUGUGUUAACAGAUUGGUCUCAGAGGAUCUUAGUGGUCUAGAAGGCUUAUGUAGUGGAAGCAUAUCAGUUAAAUAUUUUGGGCCCAAACCAUGUAGGGAUUUAUAGCAGCAGCAUUCUGAACAAGCUGAAGCUUCCUCAGAGUUUGUUUUGGGAGACCUGUAAGGAGACCAUUGCAGUAAUCAAGCUUACUAGUGAUAAAGGCAUGUACAAGUUUUUGUAAGUCUUCGGUGGACAUGAGCCCUCUAAGUCUUGCUACAUUUUUAAGGUGAUAGUAUGCCG
ensembl:lncRNA